rnacentral:rRNA from 1 species
AGGAUAAACGCCGGCGGCGUGCCUAACACAUGCAGGUCGAACGUCUCUUCUUUCGGGAAGAGGAGUGGCGGACGGGUGAGGAACACGUGGGAACCUGCCCUUUAGUGAGGAAUACCGGCGAGAAAUCGCCGACAAAGACCGCAUAGCCCUCUUUGAUGAGAGUCAAAGAAGGAAAGCUUCGCAAGAGGCGCUAGAGGAGGGGCCUGCGUCCGAUUAGCUAGUUGGUGGGGUAAGAGCCUACCAAGGCGUCGAUCGGUAGCUGGUCUGAGAGGACGAUCAGCCACACUGGGAUUGAGAACGGCCCAGACUCCUACGGGGGCAGCAGUGAGGAAUUUUCGGCAAUGGGGGAAACCCUGACCGAGCAACGCCGCGUGCAGGAAGACGGCCUUCGGGUUGUAAACUGCUUUUCUUUGGGUACGAGGAAGGACGGUACCAGAGGAAUCAGCCCCGGCUCACUACGUGCCAGCAGCCGC